AAAGCUCUGACCUUACGGGAUGAGCGCAUUUAUUAGAACAAAACCAAUCGGGUUUCGGCCCGUGCGUUGGUGACUCUGAAUAACUCUGCCGAUCGCAUGGUCUCGCACCGGCGACGUAUCUUUCAAGUGUCUGCCUUAUCAACUUUCGAUGGUAGUUUAUGUGCCUACCAUGGUUGUAACGGGUAACGGAGAAUAAGGGUUCGACUCCGGAGAGGGAGCCUGAGAAACGGCUACCACAUCCAAGGAAGGCAGCAGGCGCGCAAAUUACCCACUCUCGGCACGAGGAGGUAGUGACGAAAAGUAACGAGAUGGAUCUCUUUGAGGCCCAUUAUCGGAAUGAGAACAAUUCAAAUCCUUUAACGAGGAUCUAGCGGAGGGCAAGUCUGGUGCCAGCAGCCGCGGUAAUUCCAGCUCCGCAGGUGUAUAUCUAUGCUGCUGCGGUUAAAAAGCUCGUAGUUGGAUCUGCGUGCUCGGAACUGGUUGGCUCACUGAGUUCAAACUGGUCUCCGGCGCUUUAUUUGCUGGUUUUCCCUUGAUGCUCUUAACCGGGUGUCUCGGGUGGCUAGCGUGUUUACUUUGAAAAAAUUAGAGUGCUCAAUACAGGCGCAAAGCCUUGAAUAGUGGUGCAUGGAAUAAUAGAAUAGGACCUCGGCUCUAUUUUGUUGGUUUUCGGAACACGAGGUAAUGAUUAAGAGGGACAGACGGGGGCAUUCGUAUUGCGACGUUAGAGGUGAAAUUCUUGGAUCGUCGCAAGACGGACGACUGCGAAAGCAUUUGCCAAGAAUGUUUUCAUUAAUCAAGAACGAAAGUUAGAGGUUCGAAGGCGAUCAGAUUCCGCCCUAGUUCUAACCGUAAACGAUGCCAACUAGCGAUUCGCAGGCGAUAAACAACGACCUUGCGGGCAGCAUCCCGGAAACGAAAGUGUUCCGGUUCCGGGGGAAGUAUGGUUGCAAAGCUGAAACUUAAAGGAAUUGACGGAAGGGCACCACCAGGAGUGGAGCCUGCGGCUUAAUUUGACCCAACACGGGAAAACUCACCCGGCCCGGACACCGUAAGGAUUGACAGAUUGAGAGCUCUUUCUUGAUUCGGUGGGUGGUGGUGCAUGGCCGUUCUUAGUUGGUGGAGCGAUUUGUCUGGUUUAUUCCGAUAACGAACGAGACUCUGGCCUACUAAAUAGUGGGCGGAUUCUUUCUGUCCGCAACACUUCUUAGAGGGACAAGCGGUGUUCAGCCGCACGAGAUUGAGCAAUAACAGGUCUGUGAUGCCCUUAGAUGUCCGGGGCUGCACGCGCGCUACACUGAAGGAAUCAGCGUGCUUUCUGACCUUGCCCGAAAGGGCUGGGUAACCCGAUGAAAAUCCUUCGUGAUUGGGAUAGGGACUUGCAAUUAUUUCCCUU
rnacentral:rRNA from 1 species